AAGGCGGCCGAGCUGGGGGCGGGGCCGCGGCGCCUGCAGAACCUUGGACAGAAGCUCUCGAGCCGCCGCCGCCGCGCGCGAGCCCCGCCGAGCCCCGGGACCGCGGCGCUGAGCCGCGGCGCGCAUUGCGGAAGGUGCGGAGCGCCGGAGCCACCUGCUCGAUCCGGAGGGGCGGCACGCGACCUCGGGAGCGCCCCCGCCUCCCCCUGGCCGCCGCGGGCUCGGUGAGCUUCUUUCCUCCAGCCGGCAGGCUGGGCGCGCAGGGGCGCGGGUCCCCGCCCGGCGCGCAGCGGCACCAUGGGCACGGUGCUGUCCCUGUCCCCCAGCUACCGGAAGGCCACGCUGUUUGAGGAUGGCGCGGCCACGGUGGGCCACUACACGGCCGUGCAGAACAGCAAGAACGCCAAGGACAAGAACCUGAAGCGGCACUCCAUCAUCUCCGUGCUGCCGUGGAAGAGGAUCGUGGCCGUGUCGGCCAAGAAGAAGAACUCCAAGAAGGUGCAGCCCAACAGCAGCUACCAGAACAACAUCACGCAUCUCAACAAUGAGAACCUGAAGAAGUCGCUGUCGUGCGCCAACCUGUCCACGUUCGCCCAGCCCCCGCCGGCCCAGCCGCCCGCCCCCCCUGCCAGCCAGCUCUCGGGUUCGCAGACAGGGGUCUCCUCGUCCGUCAAGAAGGCCCCGCACCCUGCCGUCAGCUCCGCAGGGACGCCCAAACGGGUCAUCGUCCAGGCGUCCACCAGCGAGCUGCUGCGCUGCCUGGGCGAGUUCCUCUGUCGCCGGUGCUACCGCCUGAAGCACCUGUCCCCCACGGACCCUGUGCUCUGGCUGCGCAGCGUGGACCGCUCGCUGCUGCUGCAGGGCUGGCAGGACCAGGGCUUCAUCACGCCGGCCAACGUGGUCUUCCUCUACAUGCUCUGCCGGGAUGUCAUCUCCUCCGAGGUGGGUUCCGACCAUGAGCUCCAGGCGGUCCUGCUGACCUGCCUGUACCUCUCCUACUCCUACAUGGGCAACGAGAUCUCCUACCCGCUCAAGCCCUUCCUGGUGGAGAGCUGCAAGGAGGCCUUUUGGGACCGCUGUCUCUCCGUCAUCAACCUCAUGAGCUCCAAGAUGCUGCAGAUCAACGCCGACCCCCACUACUUCACGCAGGUGUUCUCCGACCUGAAGAACGAGAGCGGCCAGGAGGACAAGAAGCGGCUCCUCCUCGGGCUGGACCGGUGAGCCCGCCAGCCUGCAUCAUGGCUCAAGGAUUCAAUUCAUUUUUAAAAAUUUAUUCUUAAAUCAGAUUUUCUGUACAGUAUGUGUCUAGCAAAGCCACCAAGGGCCUCUCCCUUCCCACCUCCCCUCCUUGGGGUUUUCCUCCGCCCUGUCAAGAUCUCUGGGCGCUUCUGAACUCCCGAACCUUGUGCAACAUUCAGAAGAUGUAUUCAGAGCCACCCUGGCCCCCGACAUCUCACUCUGGGGAAUUGAAAGGACUGACUGGCCUCUGCCGCCUGCGCCCUUGCUGGACCAAGGCAGGGAAGGCGGCCCACAGCCAGGCAGCCCAGGGAGGAACUGGAGUUUCUGGUUGGAGGCCCUUUGCUGGCUCCUGUUCUGGGUCGUCUGUUCUCCCAGAGGCUCCUGGAGACGGCCACCUGGACUGCGCUGCACGUGGGCUUAGGAGGCCAAACGCCCGUGGCCCUGGGACAGCCUCUUCAAUCGAGGGGAAGCCGGCCUGGUGCGAAGAUCAUGUCCUCUAAUUUGGCCAUGCAUGACCCUGGUUUGCUCUUUUUUCUUUUUUAGGGAGAAGGGCUUUCCUUUCAUGGAGACAUGGAACCGCCCCCACCCCCCCACAACCUCCCCUCCUUCGUCCCCCCACCCCCAGCCCUGUUGGUAGUGUUGGUUAAUGAGCUGGUUUGACUCACUAAGUUCUUUCAUUUUGGGUCCCGGCUCCCAAGGGGUGGGGUGACGCCAGGGACAACUCCUUUCUUGGGUGAAUUUUUCAUUUGAAUCAUGCAGCUUAGUCACCCCGUGGCGAAGGCCAGGGCAGCUGCAGGUGCCCAUUGUCAACAGCCUGCCUCCCGGGCAGGUGGGGCUGCCAUGCCUGGGACUGAGCCAGUGCCCAUGACAUUUGCCCUGCGGAGCUGCAGGGGUUGGGGUGGGGGUGAUGUCAGGGAUCAGGGUGAUGUGGUAAUGAUGCACCCCUCCCCUCACCCCCUGUUGAUUUAAAGCUGUUUACAAACAGUUGAGUCGCUUCUGAAGAUGAAGCCUUGUCCUGAAAGGCCCAGGGAGACGGCUGGAUCUUGGAGUCAAUUAUGAGCCGGGAGCCGAACUCCUGACUGCCUGCUGAUUCUCCCGCUGAUCAUUUGCAGCUGCUGGUUUGGGUCUCCACCUUCAACCUCAGUGGCUGUAAAAAAAAAACCCAUGAUGUGUCACUUAAUUUUCUUUCUGAUUCUCCCAGAUCGGUGGCUGGGGGCUUGGGAGAGGACCCAGAGAAGGGAGCCAGCCUUCCGCGAUCCCUCUGGCUUUGGGGAACAAAGACUGAUGUGAAGGCCCACAGAGAAUUCUCUCUUCCAGUCUCAACCCCCAAGGGGGGCUAGAAGGGGAGGCUGGGGGUGAGGGAGGCAGGGGGCCGUUUUACAUAGGAUUAGCUUCCAGGUGGCUGCCAUUUCAGCACAAGCACUACUGAAAUUCACAUAAAAAAGAGAAAGCUGUGAAACUGAGCUCCCGAUUUAACAGGCCCGGCGUCGAGCCUGCGGCCCCGUGGUGCUCGCGAGAACGAGGGCCUGCCCCAAGCUGGGAGCACGGGCCUCAGCUGCGCCCCGAGGCCCAUGCCCAGCCGCUCCCAGGACCGCCGGCCAGAUUUACCUGCCGCGGGGUGGAAGGAACCCGCGGCUGCCGGCGGGGACCUCGCGUGCAGAGCCUCUGCUCCGCGGGAGUUGUCACACAGCCUGUCUGUGCAGAUCCUGCUGCCGUGUGUGACCCGAGAUGUGGGAAUGAUAGUGAAGGUGUGUGAUGGAAGCAAGAUAGUACUGGAGUGCCACUGACUCACGACCCUGGUGAUCUCAAGAACUUCCCCACCAACCCCCCUGGAGUUGUAGGUGUGAUGCCUGAGCUGUGUGCAUCACUGUCUUAGCACCUGCUCCAGGUCUGGAAAAAAGGAAACCAGCAUGAAAUCACAAGUCAAAUCUUGAUGAGCACAACAAAAGAAGAUCCUACUGUAUCAGGCUGAAGAAGUCGGUUUCUCUGGGGAUGGGGAGCUUGGCACGACCACCCUUGUGCCUUAUCUUCCACGUGCAGACGUGCCCGCUGCCUGCUUCCCGUGGAGUGAUGGAGGGAUGGACGCAGGCCUGUCUUGUGACCCUGUCAGUUUAUUAGCACUUUACUGAAGCGCGUGUUCAGACACGUGCACUUAAUGGAAGGGACAGCUGAAGAGCAAAGCCAGCGUGAUAUUCACACCGUGCGGCAUAGGGAAAAAUGCAUUUGCAAACCCCGUAGGAGGUAAUGCUCAAAAAAAGCCCACAGUCUGGGGACAAGAAGGAACAACUCCUUUCUAAAUAUUCCCCGUAACAUAAGCACAGCUGGUGAAGAGUCCAGGGAGGCCUGUGUGAAACCGCCUCUAACCCUCAGAGGUAGUGAGCGCCCUACCCCGAAGGCACCCACACAGGGGAGGGUGACGUGGGGAGCGAGAUGCUGGAUUCGGGGACCCUUAGCUCCACUCCAGUGAUUAGAAGACGUGAUGUGCUGAUUUGAGUGUCUGGUGGGAGUUAUCUGGAAUAUGAGGGCUGCCACUCUGCACAACUCCGGGAUGCCCUUUGCGUCACAGUCUAGGUGAGAGGCACCCCCCGCAAUCCCCCACCGUACCCCCGAUGAAGUGCCGCCCUGCAGGGACUCUGUAGUUGUUAUGGGCAACCAGGCUAAAUCUUGAUUCCAGACUCCUGUGUCUAUUACAGCAAAACGGGCUUGCUUAAUUUUUUCUUUUAAGGUUUGUAGUAUCUUUAUUUUUUUUUAAAUUAUUUUUCAUUGA